UUUUGCCUGUUGUGGGGUCACAUGCAAAUGUUUAUAAACAGGAACAGCUGAGGAAAGGAAGCGAUUAUAGUAUAAGUUCAAUCAUGUAACCUGUUACCUGUCUACUAGGUUAAAUUGUCAUCAGUUCCAAAAGUUUCAGAUUAAUUUGAUGUAACGUCACAAGUAAGUUGUCAACUUACUCAAGAUGAAGCCACGUUUUGACUGGCUGGCUUUUACAGUCAUCUUUUGCUUACUGAGUGCACUGCUGUACUUCAAUACUUCAGUGGUGCCCCAGAUACAGAUUGUUUUACUGAGCUCUCUGCAAAAUGAUCAGCAACAACUCCAAGGAAAUCCCCUCCAAGGUAACACCUACAACAUUGAUAAAGCAGGCCCAUAUGUUAUCACAGCUCAUUUGUUAAACAAAGGCAGUUCUGAAAAUCUUGUGGAAACCAACUUGACAGAGAACUUAUCUGAUCAAAAGCAAAGUUUGAAGAAUAGACAGAAAGUGAAGGACAGUUGCAGUAAUUUUAAAGAUAGUGAGAAAUUUGACUGUGAUCCAGAAGGAUCAGUAUCUGAAGCCAAAUGUCAGGCGAGGGGGUGUUGUUGGCACCCCCAAGUAAAACCACCAUCUCAUCCUGUUAGAGGUCUGCCACUAGGUGUUCCCUGGUGCUUUUACCCUGAUGGCUACCCGGGUUAUAUUGUGGACAGUGUUGACUACCGCCCCACUGGGGUCAGGGUUCAGAUCUCCAGGAAAACUAACUCCUACUACUCCGACGACAUCAAGACAGCUGUAAUGGAUGUCACUUAUAGAUCGGAUCAAACACUGAGGAUCAAGAUAUUUGACCCCAGUAAGAACAGGUACGAGGUUCCGAUAUAUGGCUCCCCAUCAACUCAGACAACCAAUGACACUCUGUACAGCUUCUCCGUCAGUGAGGUGGGGCAACCAUUCAACUUCCAGCUGGUCAGGAAAACUGCCACGGGUCUAGUACCGGUCAUCGUAUUAAGGACCAAUCGUACAGCACCAUUCAUGUUCAGUGACCAGUACAUCCAGCUAGCCUCUUUCUUACCCUCCAACUAUAUCUACGGUCUGGGAGAACACAGAGGGAGUCUACUUCAUGAUGUAAACUGGAAACAGUUCACCAUGUGGAACAAGGACCGUCCACCAAAAGAAAAUACUAACCUGUAUGGUUCCCAUCCAUUUUACCUUGUAAUGGAGGGCAGAGAUGGGGGGAGCCAUGGAGUCUUCCUUGCCAACAGCAAUGCUAUGGAUGUAAUUCUGCAGCCAGCACCAGCUAUAACCUGGCGUACCAUUGGUGGGAUUAUUGACAUGUAUGUGUUCCUUGGGCCGUCUCCAGCUGCUGUUAUUCAGCAGUACACAGAGGUCAUAGGGCGAUCGUUCAUGCCGCCCUACUGGAGCCUUGGAUACCACCUGUGUAGGUGGGGUUAUAAGACAGCUAAUGGCACCCUCGCUAUCACAGACAGGGUUCAAGCAGCGGGGAUUCCACAGGAUGUCCAGUGGAACGACAUUGACUACAUGGACAGGAAGCUAGACUUCACCACUGGACCAAAGUUUGGUGACCAAAGCACCAUGGUGGACAAUCUUCACAAGCGGGGAAUGCACUACAUCAUGAUACUAGAUCCAGGAAUAAGUACCUCACAAAAGCCUGGCUCCUACAUGCCUUAUGAUGUUGGAAUCAAAAUGGACAUCUUCAUCAAAGACAGCUCGGGAAAACCUAUUGUUGGCAAGGUGUGGCCAGGUAACACUGUAUUCCCAGACUUCACUCAUCCUUUAGCAGCCCAGUACUGGACCUCACUGAUCAGGGAAUUCCACGACAACGUUCCAUUUGACGGGAUAUGGAUUGAUAUGAAUGAAAUAUCCAAUUUUGUUGCUGGCUCAUUAUCUGGAUGUCCCUCCAACUCAUCUCUGGAGAAUCCUCCCUAUCUGCCAGCUGUGGAAGGAGGAUCUCUACGAUUCAACACAUUGUGUGCCUCGGCAAGGCAGAACUUGUCAGUGUGUUACAACACUCACAAUCUGUAUGGCCUCACAGAGACCAUGGCAACAUACAAAGCUCUACAACUUGUACGCGGGAAGAGACCUUUCAUAAUAUCCAGGUCAACCUUCCCCGGUCAAGGUCAAUUUGGAGGUCAUUGGUCAGGAGACAAUGAUGCUACAUACAGUGACAUGUACUUCUCUAUACCAGAAAUACUCAACUUCAACAUGUUUGGAAUUUCCAUGAUUGGGGCUGAUAUCUGUGGUUUCCGGUCAGAGACAAAUGAACAAUUGUGUGUCCGUUGGCAUCAACUUGGAGCUUUCUAUCCAUUUUCUCGUAACCACAACACUUUAGGAAUGAAGGACCAGGAUCCGGCUGCCUUCAGCCAUAAUGCUGUGAUGGCUAUUAAGUCAGUGUACCUGGUACGCUACUCCUUACUUCCCUACCUCUACACUCUUUUCCACAAAAGUCACCAGAUGGGACACACCGUUGCCAGACCACUGUUCUUUGAGUUUCCAGAAGAUGAGAAGACUUAUAGUAUUGAUCGCCAGUUCUUGUGGGGUGAGGCACUAAUGAUUUCACCAGUCCUUACAAAGGAUGCCACAACUGUCGACAUAUAUUUCCCGGGGUUUAGAUGGUACGACUUCUACAACGGUCGCCAUAACUAUACUACUGGUAGUGUACAGAACCUGCCUGCUCCCAUCAACCAGAUCAACCUACACGUGAGGGAAGGGUACAUCCUUCCCAUGCAGGAACCUGCCUUGACUACAACAGACAGCCGAAAGAACCCCUUUAGUCUGCUGGUGGCUCUGAACGAGAAGGGAGAGGCACAGGGAAGCUUGUUCUGGGACGAUGGAGACACAAUAGGAACCUAUACAUCUGAAAAGUAUAUCACGAUGCAGUUUCAAGCUGGAAAGCAAGUUUUACAGAGCCAGAUAUUGCAUAAUGGUUACUUGACGUCUGCGACCUGGGGUAGCAUAACAGUCUAUGGUGUGACACAGAACCCAACAUCAGUCACAGUCAAUGGACAGACUGUAAAAAACACUUACGACCACAACUACAAGGUUCUCCAUGUCAGCGACCUUACUCUGGACCUGGUGCUGGCCUUUAAGAUGGCCUGGAAAUAGAGAACAGAUACAAUCCCUCGUAACAAAGAACUGCUGGGUUAAUUUCAUUGUCAAAACAAAGUGUACAGAUUUUGUUGAAGUUUUAUAUCUGUAAGUCACAAAAACUGUUUUACUACUACAAGAUGACACUGGAUUGUCAUCUCCGAAGUAACUUGACAAUCUUUUUACAAAAAGAAUUAUUUUAGUCAAAUCACUUGUUAUUAACUACACAGGGUUUAAGUUGUAUGCCAAACAAAAGGAUUUUCCUUUGAUAUUUUUAUUCAUUGUACAUGUUUUGUGGCACUAUAUGUUGCAUAAUGAAAAAUCAGAAUUGUAGUUGAUCUUUCGUCUUUCUGGGGAGAGACAAGUUUGAUUUUGCUGUGAAAUUAUUGAAUGAGAUAUAUAUUCUGGUGUUAUAUUGUGUUAUAAUGUGUUAUGAUGUGUUAUGAUGUGUUAUUGUAUGUAUAACAAAUGUGUUUUAAUGUGAUGUAGUGGACUAUAGCAUGUAAGCUGUGCUAUAAUGUGAUAUAUUGUGAUUCAUCUUGACCUCUUUCCACAGUGCGUCAUAUGUUCAAAAUUUACAUUUUCAAUGUAAAGUUCAAAUAUAACAUGAUUCUGACUAGGUGCCGCAUCAGCCUUCUUCAAAAGCCAUUUUGAUCAUUGCAAUGUUCUAUACAUAGUCCUGACGAAAUGUUAUUUUUCAGGUGGGUGAGAAAUCCAAUUUGGUUGCCUUGGCUGCCAUCUUGAAAUUCUAGUUUGAACUAAAACUCAAGUUCUAAUAAGACAAUUCAACUAAAUUUGGUAGAGAUUCCUGGGUCUUGACAGUGUUGUCAUUUUUCACUUUUGAUCAAAAAUUCAAUAAUGUAGUUUGGAGGGAAAUAGUAUAUAGUUUGGAGAGGGGAUAGUAUAGUUUGGAGGGGGAUAGUAUAGUUUGGAGGGGGGAUAGUGUAGUUUGGAGGGGGGAUAGUAUAGUUUGGAGGGGUAUAGUAUAGUUUGGAGGGGGGGAUAGUAUAGUUUGCAUGGAAACAAUGUUUUUGGUAUCUCUAUUCUGUAAACAAAUUGCAAGCAUGAUUUUUGAGGUUUAUGAAGGUCAUAGUAAUGUGAACUGUUAUGCCUGCAGCCUCAGGUCAUAGUAAUGUGAACUGUUAUGUCUACAGCCUCAGGUCAUAGUAAUGUGAACUGUUAUGUCUACAGCCUCAGGUCAUAGUAAUGUGAACUGUUAUGUCUACAGCCUCAGGUCAUAGUAAUGUGAACUGUUAUGUCUACAGCCUCAGGUCAUAGUAAUGUGAACUGUUAUGUCUACAGCCUCAGGUCAUAGUAAUGUGAACUGUUAUGUCUACAGCCUCAGGUCAUAGUAAUGUGAACUGUUAUGUCUACAGCCUCAGGUCAUAGUAAUGUGAACUGUUAUGUCUACAGCCUCAGGUCAUAGUAAUGUGAACUGUUAUGUCUACAGCCUCAGGUCAUAGUAAUGUGAACUGUUAUGUCUACAGCCUCAGGUCAUAGUAAUGUGAACUGUUAUGUCUACAGCCUCAGGUCAUAGUAAUGUGAACUGUUAUGUCUACAGCCUCAGAUCAUAGUAAUGUGAACUGUUAUGUCUACAGCCUUAUUGUUUGGUCAUUGGAGCACAUGGGACCUCUUUUCCUAAAUUUACCCAUUUAGAGAAAAAGACAAAAAAAUAUUAUUUCUCAUUACUAAAAUGAUAUAUUUUAGUGUGUUUUGUUGCUCCCAUGAUUGGUAACAAAACUGUCUUGUUUUGUGUAAACAAUUGUUUCCACUUCAUAUUCAUGUUAAAGCCGAUGGGCCUAUUCAAACAAUAAUACACAUCUUGCCAUUGGUUUGAUAUCUUGCCUUUGAUUAUCUUGUUUGCUGCUAAGAGCUAUUAUACGCAAAGAUUAUAUUCUGACAUGAAAACUUAUAAAAAUCAUCUGCUCUCAGCUGAAUGUAACUUAAACAAAUGUAAACACAUACGUGUAUACAGCUGUUAUGUUGAUGGGCAUAUUACCUAGUAUGUUAUGCUGUUGAAUGACUUAUUUCAUCAUGAAGAUAAAAUAUUAUAUAUUCAAUCGAUUUAAAUUGUAGUGUAUCAAUUUGUUUCUCCAGUAGUGGUUAGACGGGACUUUAACAGUUUUUAAUUACCAAAUUUCAGUGGGAAGACAGUUUUAGAUAACAGCAGUUCUGUGACAUUCUGUUUUCUCAGAACAUGUAUUUUUUUAUUUUGUUUUAUUACACAGCCAUUCAUUAAAAAAGUACUUUCAUUGUGAAUUCACGACAUCAUUUCACCUCACAAUGGGUUUUGUUACUCAACCUGAAACUCAGUUAGUUUGUUAUUACACAUGUUGACUAUGGAAAGUGCAUGUGAGGAUUUUUAUUAUGUAGUGACUGAGCGGCGUUUAUUUUUAUUAUCAUGCCGGUGUCCUAUAAAAUUUUCAUCCCCAUAAGAUACCUAUCCGGAUGAGUUUUAUGGAUGUAGCCAAUUUGUGUUCAUACCGGCAUGAAAAUUAAAAGUAACGCCAUUCAUUCUAAAUAUUUACAUUUUUACUAUAGAACAAUUGUUAAACUUUAUUUAUUUGUUCUUAAAACAUUUUUCUUCUUUACUGCAUUUUGAAUAUGCGUCAUCCUUAAAACGACAUUGGCAGAAAAGCCCUAUUUAACUAAAAUUGGCACCAAUAAUUAACCGUAGUCAUUUGAGCGUUUGACACAGGGGCAUUCUCCAUGUCAUCCGAAGCGAAGCGACAAGACACUCAUUGAACAAGGUUUAUCUAUGACAUUGCUUUCAUUCUCAAAUGAAAUGUAUUUCUGCUGGUAAUGUUCAUAUAAUGGGUUGCAGCACAAAUGUAAAUAUAUGAUUAUAUAGUUAUUGGUAUGCUGAGUAGCUGAUAAAGACGUGUACAAGAUCUGUGGUGUAGAAGUUAUGUACUGAAUUUAUAACUGUAUUUCUGGAAGGUCAGAUAUGAUAUUUUCACCUUUAUUUUUGCUCUGUUAUUAAUACCUGAGAGUGGUGUAUGAGUGAAGUAGUUGGACAAAUGUUGGAUAUAAUGGAAUGUGAUGGUAGUACAGUGUUGUUUAUGAUAGACUAAGUACAGGUAGGUACAGUUGUGGGAUCACACAACGUUACACAAUGUGCAGUGUGCGCACGCACGAUGUGCACAGAAUGUUUGCACAGGUGUGCACAAUGAGCUAAUGAUAAAAAUCUAGACAAUUAUUGCUUGCGAAUAUUUGUGCAGACGAUGGACGAAUGUUGUGCGAUGACAACUGUGGUGUAAAUUGAGAAAUGGCUUAAUAAUAUAUACGGUUUUGUGUUUACACCUAUUCACUUGAUUUUUAAGUAUAUAUUUCUAUAUUCUAGCUACAUGUACCUAUAUAAGCUGAUCUUUCUAUCUAUUUUCUUCAAUUUAGAAUUAAUG
rnacentral:misc_RNA from 1 species